rnacentral:lncRNA from 1 species
AUGUCCAUCCAUGUCCCCAAUGUGUCCCCAUCCCAAGACGUCCGUCCGUGUGUCCCACAUGCUCCUGCCCCCAAGGUGUCCGUGUGUCCUACACAGCUUUGUCCCCAAGAUGUCCAUCCAUGUGCCCUACGUGUCCCAUGUCAUCCUGUCCCCAGGAUGCCAUCCACGUGUCCCCGUGUCCCUGUCCCCAAGAUGUCCUUUUAUGGGUCCCACACUGCCUUGUCCCCAAGGUGUCUGUGUGUCCCCGUCCCCAAGAUGCCCAUAGGUGUCCACACAGCUUUGUCCCCAGGAUGCCAUCCAGUGUCCCCCGUGUCCCUGUCCCCAAGACAUCCAUCCAUGUGUCCCACGUGUCCCUGUCCCCAAGACAUCCAUCCAUGUGUCCCACGUGUCCCUGUCCCCAAGAUGUCCCUCUAUGGGUCCCACACUGCCUUGUCCCCAAGGUGUCCGUGUGUCCUCUGUGUCCCUGUCCCCAAGGUGUCCCUCUCUGGGUCCCACACUACCUUGUCCCCAAGGUGUCUGUGUGUCCCCGUCCCCAAGAUGCCCAUAGGUGUCCACACAGCUUUGUCCCCAGGAUGCCAUCCAGUGUCCCCCGUGUCCCUGUCCCCACGCUGUCCUUUUAUGGGUCCCAUGUGCUUUUGUCCCCAACAUGUCCGUGUGUCAGGAUGUCCGUCCGUGUGUCCCACACAGCUUUGUCCCCAAGCUGUCCAUCCCAGUACCCACAUGGUGGCCCCACGGUGCCCACGCCCAGGUAAUCAGACACAAAACCCCCCAAAACCCCCACAAACCCAUCAUCUCUGAGAAAACCUCUUUAAAUACAGCAGCACAGAAAAGGGCCGUGGGGGCAGCGGCGUCAGCACUGCGCCGCGUCCUCAAAGCUGGGGUUGGCGAAGGCUGCGCCCCACACCGCGCCGGCCUUGGUGCCCUCCGUGCCACCGGGUUUGGUGUCACCAACGUCAACUGUGGUGCCCUCUGUGCCAAACCUGGUGCCCCCCGUGCCAAAUCCAGUGCCCCCUGUGCCGGAUCUGGUGUCUUCAGUACCGGAUCUGGUGCCCUCCACGUCAUCUUUGAUGCCCUCCAUGCCAUCUUUGGUGCCCUCCACGCUGAGCGGUGCGGGACCUGCGGGCGCAGCGGGACGGGGUCACCCCCAGAUGGUGGGACGGGGGACCCUUGGGGUGGGGGGGGCGGGGGGGGGGUCCGGGGUCCGCACCCAUGUAGCUGAGCAGGACGGGCAGGAAGACGAGGCCGUGAGCGAGGCCCACCAGCGUGAUGAUGAAAUUGAGACGGAAGAAGAAGAUCUGGAUGAGCUGCGCUUUGGCGAAGGCCAAAACCACGACGCCCGGCAGGUUGGUCAUGGCCACCCCGGCCACCACCUGGCAUCGGGGACACGUGGGGUGAGGCGUGGGGCGAGGCGUGGGGCGAGGUUCGGGGUGACCCACGCGUCCCCGCGCCCCACACCUUGCUGCCCAUGUUGAUGGUGGCCUCGGCCGCGCGCUCCACGCGGGUGGG